rnacentral:rRNA from 1 species
AAUGAACGCUGGCGGCAUGCCUAACACAUGCAAGUCGAACGAAGGCUUCGGCCUUAGUGGCGCACGGGUGCGUAACGCGUGGGAAUCUGCCCUCAGGUUCGGAAUAACAGCGGGAAAUUGCUGCUAAUACCGGAUGAUAUCGCGAGAUCAAAGAUUUAUCGCCUGAGGAUGAGCCCGCGUAGGAUUAGCUAGUUGGUGUGGUAAAGGCGCACCAAGGCGACGAUCCUUAGCUGGUCUGAGAGGAUGAUCAGCCACACUGGGACUGAGACACGGCCAGGACUCCUCGGGGAGGCAGCAGGGGGGAAUAUUGGACAAGGGGCGAAAGCCUGAUCCAGCAAGGCCGCGUGAGUGAUGAAGGCCUUAGGGUUGUAAAGCUCUUUUACCCGGGAUGAUAAUGACGGUACCGGAAGAAUAAGCCCCGGCUAACCCCGUGCCAGCCGCCGCCGUAA